UGGGGAAUAUUGCACAAUGGGCGCAAGCCUGAUGCAGCCAUGCCGCGUGUAUGAAGAAGGCCUUCGGGUUGUAAAGUACUUUCAGCGGGGAGGAAGGGAGUAAAGUUAAUACCUUUGCUCAUUGACGUUACCCGCAGAAGAAGCACCGGCUAACUCCGUGCCAGCAGCCGCGGUAAUACGGAGGGUGCAAGCGUUAAUCGGAAUUACUGGGCGUAAAGCGCACGCAGGCGGUCUGUCAAGUCGGAUGUGAAAUCCCCGGGCUUAACCUGGGAACUGCAUUCGAAACUGGCAGGCUAGAGUCUUGUAGAGGGGGGUAGAAUUCCAGGUGUAGCGGUGAAAUGCGUAGAGAUCUGGAGGAAUACCGGUGGCGAAGGCGGCCCCCUGGACAAAGACUGACGCUCAGGUGCGAAAGCGGGGGGAGCAAACAGG
rnacentral:rRNA from 1 species